rnacentral:rRNA from 1 species
GACGAACGCUGGCGGCGUGCCUAAUACAUGCAAGUAGAACGCUGAAGCGAGGAGCUUGCUCUUCUUGGAUGAGUUGCGAACGGGUGAGUAACGCGUAGGUAACCUGCCUGGUAGCGGGGGAUAACUAUUGGAAACGAUAGCUAAUACCGCAUAAAAUUGAUUAUUGCAUGAUGAUUAAUUGAAAGAUGCAACUGCAUCACUACCAGAUGGACCUGCGUUGUAUUAGCUAGUUGGUGAGGUAACGGCUCACCAAGGCGACGAUACAUAGCCGACCUGAGAGGGUGAUCGGCCACACGGGGACUGAGACACGGCCCAGACUCCUGAGGGAGGCAGCAGUAGGGAAUCUUCGGCAAUGGGGGGAACGCUGACCGAGCAACGGCGCGUGAGUGAAGCAGGUUUUCGGAUCGUAAAGCUCUGUUGUAAGAGAAGAACGGGUGUGAGAGUGGAAAGUUCACGCUGUGACGGUAUCUGACCAGAAAGGGACGGCUAACUACGU